rnacentral:rRNA from 1 species
AUUGAACGCUGGCGGCAUGCCUUACACAUGCAAGUCGAACGGCAGCACGGGUGCUUGCACCUGGUGGCGAGUGGCGAACGGGUGAGUAAUACAUCGGAACAUGUCCUGUAGUGGGGGAUAGCCCGGCGAAAGCCGGAUUAAUACCGCAUACGAUCUACGGAUGAAAGCGGGGGACCUUCGGGCCUCGCGCUAUAGGGUUGGCCGAUGGCUGAUUAGCUAGUUGGUGGGGUAAAGGCCUACCAAGGCGACGAGCAGUAGCUGGUCUGAGAGGACGACCAGCCACACUGGGACUGAGACACGGCCCAGACUCCUGCGGGAGGCAGCAGUGGGGAAUUUUGGACAAUGGGCGAAAGCCUGAUCCAGCAAUGCCGCGUGUGUGACGAAGGCCUUCGGGUUGUAAAGCACUUUUGUCCGGAAAGAAAUCCUUGGCCCUAAUACGGUCGGGGGAUGACGGUACCGGAAGAAUAAGCACCGGCUAACUACGUG